rnacentral:rRNA from 1 species
UACGAAGGGGGCUAGCGUUGCUCGGAAUUACUGGGCGUAAAGCGCACGUAGGCGGUCUUUUAAGUCGGGGGUGGAAAUCCUGGAGCUCAACUCCAGAACUGCCUUCGAUACUGGAAGACUUGAGUCCGGGAGAGGUGAGUGGAACUGCGAGUGUAGAGGUGAAAUUCGUAGAUAUUCGCAAGAACACCAGUGGCGAAGGCGGCUCACUGGCCCGGUACUGACGCUGAGGUGCGAAAGCGUGGGGAGCAAACAGGG